AGCGAACGCUGGCGGCAGGCUUAACACAUGCAAGUCGAACGGGCACUUCGGUGCUAGUGGCAGACGGGUGAGUAACACGUGGGAACGUACCUUUCGGUUCGGAAUAAUACAGGGAAACUUGUACUAAUACCGGAUACGCCCUUCGGGGGAAAGAUUUAUCGCCGAUAGAUCGGCCCGCGUCUGAUUAGCUAGUUGGUGAGGUAAUGGCUCACCAAGGCGACGAUCAGUAGCUGGUCUGAGAGGAUGAUCAGCCACACUGGGACUGAGACACGGCCCAGACUCCCACGGGAGGCAGCAGUGGGGAAUAUUGGACAAUGGGCGAAAGCCUGAUCCAGCCAUGCCGCGUGAGUGAUGAAGGCCUUAGGGUUGUAAAGCUCUUUUGUCCGGGAAGAUAAUGACUGUACCGGAAGAAUAAGCCCCGGCUAACUUCGUGCCAGCCGCCGCUGUAACAC
rnacentral:rRNA from 1 species